rnacentral:lncRNA from 1 species
GAGGCUCACAGGAACCUAGCCCUCCUAGGAACAAUGGCUUAGUAUGCACAUAGCUUUAUAGAACAUUACUGCAAAUAACAAUAAUGAUUGUAUCUAUUUUAUGGGGUUGCUGUGUAUGUUAAGUAAGGAUAUGCGCAAAAUGCCUACUAUGUUGAUGUUUUAUAAGGGAAGACUGUAUCCUACUGUAUGAGGGAGCAGAGACUAUGAGAAGUUACCUGCCUUAUUUAAAAUCAUUAGACCAGAAAGUGGCUCAGGUUAGUAGCAUAUGAAUCCAUUCUAUCUGAAUCCAAAAGCAGCAAUCCUCAAAGCAUACAGGCUACAUCUAGGAAUAAUCCCACAUGGAAAUUAAAUGCUUUUUAGUUCCUUCUGACUGCUCUUGACUUAAAGAUUUUAUCUACAUGACUUGAUUCUGAAAAACCUAUUUACACCACCACCACCACCAUCUUUGUGCCAGGCACGGUGCUAACCAUGUGCCAUCUGGUACCUCUUCAUUGCAUAUUGAUCAUAUAAAGUAGGCAUUAUUGUUAUUGUGACCAUUUUAGAGACCCAGAGAAGUUAAACGAAUUUUUUCAAAGUCCUACAACUUGGAGAACAAAGAUAACAGUUUAGGUCUUUUUGACUCCACAGCUCCUGUUCUGAAUCUUGACAUCAGAAAGCACCAAACUCUUGGAGAAUCUAUAGAACAGCAAAGCAGCCAACUGAAGAAUCAGCAACAACAACGGCAACAACAAAACAGUGGAGAAGGACAUAGAGUUUUCUAUGUUUACUUACCCAGCUGUCUUUUUCUUUGAGCAACCCUCCGAAGACACCACACUGUUCUGCCUGGAGUGCACUGGCUGGGAUAUGCUAAAGACAGGUUACCUCCUGGAAGAAUAAUGCCACACAUGAUUGACACGACUUCCAUUUCUGAGCCCUGCCAACGUCGCCCGCCCCGGUGCAGCAAACACCAAAGAUGCAGCUGACAUGCUGAACUUAAACAAGUUCUGUUGCUUAUUCACUGAAUUAAGCCUACAUCUGCGGCUGUUAAAGUGGGGAAAAAGAUUAAUAAAGUACAUGUUGAAGCUUGAAAG